AGAGUUUGAUCAUGGCUCAGAUUGAACGCUGGCGGCAGGCCUAACACAUGCAAGUCGAACGGUAACAGGAAUCAGCUUGCUGAUUCGCUGACGAGUGGCGGACGGGUGAGUAAUGUCUGGGAAACUGCCUGAUGGAGGGGGAUAACUACUGGAAACGGUAGCUAAUACCGCAUAAUGUCGCAAGACCAAAAGAGGGGGACCUUCGGGCCUCUUGCCAUCAGAUGUGCCCAGAUGGGAUUAGCUUGUUGGUGGGGUAACGGCUCACCAAGGCGACGAUCCCUAGCUGGUCUGAGAGGAUGACCAGCCACACUGGAACUGAGACACGGUCCAGACUCCUACGGGAGGCAGCAGUGGGGAAUAUUGCACAAUGGGCGCAAGCCUGAUGCAGCCAUGCCGCGUGUAUGAAGAAGGCCUUCGGGUUGUAAAGUACUUUCAGCGGGGAGGAAGGGAGUAAAGUUAAUACCUUUGCUCAUUGACGUUAUCCGCAGAAGAAGCACCGGCUAACUCCGUGCCAGCAGCCGCGGUAAUACGGAGGGUGCAAGCGUUAAUCGGAAUUACUGGGCGUAAAGCGCACGCAGGCGGUUUGUUAAGUCAGAUGUGAAAUCCCCGGGCUCAACCUGGGAACUGCAUCUGAUACUGGCAAGCUUGAGUCUCGUAGAGGGGGGUAGAAUUCCAGGUGUAGCGGUGAAAUGCGUAGAGAUCUGGAGGAAUACCGGUGGCGAAGGCGGCCCCCUGGACGAAGACUGACGCUCAGGUGCGAAAGCGUGGGGAGCAAACAGGAUUAGAUACCCUGGUAGUCCACGCCGUAAACGAUGUCGACUUGGAGGUUGUGCCCUUGAGGCGUGGCUUCCGGAGCUAACGCGUUAAGUCGACCGCCUGGGGAGUACGGCCGCAAGGUUAAAACUCAAAUGAAUUGACGGGGGCCCGCACAAGCGGUGGAGCAUGUGGUUUAAUUCGAUGCAACGCGAAGAACCUUACCUGGUCUUGACAUCCACGGAAGUUUUCAGAGAUGAGAAUGUGCCUUCGGGAACCGUGAGACAGGUGCUGCAUGGCUGUCGUCAGCUCGUGUUGUGAAAUGUUGGGUUAAGUCCCGCAACGAGCGCAACCCUUAUCCUUUGUUGCCAGCGGUCCGGCCGGGAACUCAAAGGAGACUGCCAGUGAUAAACUGGAGGAAGGUGGGGACGACGUCAAGUCAUCAUGGCCCUUACGACCAGGGCUACACACGUGCUACAAUGGCGCAUACAAAGAGAAGCGACCUCGCGAGAGCAAGCGGACCUCAUAAAGUGCGUCGUAGUCCGGAUUGGAGUCUGCAACUCGACUCCAUGAAGUCGGAAUCGCUAGUAAUCGUGGAUCAGAAUGCCACGGUGAAUACGUUCCCGGGCCUUGUACACACCGCCCGUCACACCAUGGGAGUGGGUUGCAAAAGAAGUAGGUAGCUUAACCUUCGGGAGGGCGCUUACCACUUUGUGAUUCAUGACCUGGGGUGAAGUCGUAACAAGGUAACCGUAGGGGAACCUGCGGUUGGAUCACCU
rnacentral:rRNA from 1 species